UCUGCUAGGAUGAAGAGCAAAGUCUAUAAAACAGUGGCGAGGCCGGCCAUGAUGUAUGGAUUAGAGACGGUGGCACUGAAGAGACGACAGGAAGCAGAACUUGAGGGUCUCGAUGAACCGCGGCGCAGAAACGAAGCGUCUCCGGCGAGGUGCCCUCCGUGCGUCACCGCCAUCGCGCAUAAAACUUCCCCACUUGGGCUUCUUCAGUCCACUCGCUUCGACCGCGUGAUCGAAAAGGAAAGGUACACCGGGACUCUUGGGAACCAUACACGCCGGAGCAUAGACUUAGAGCCACGAUCUGGUUGAUGAAAUUGUGGAAGUCGUCACCCGGGACAAGUUGAGCACCUGACGUCCCGACGCCCUCGGCUCUCUCAAGGCGCUGUAUGGUAAAAUAAGGCGAGAUGAAACUGGCAUCGGGGAUAACAUUGAGGGUAUAACAUCCUCGGAUUCAAACCAAGUGGCGAGCGCUGGAUGGCAGACCAACAGAAGCAGCAAACAAGCAACGGGAUACAUCUUCUGCAAGUGAAACCGCGGUUGAAGACAAAUUGAUCACAACAUGGGCGAUAU